rnacentral:tRNA from 1 species
UGCUCGGUAGCUUAGUUGGUAAAGCACUCGUCUAGGAUACAAGAGUCGUGGGUCCGAAUCCCACACAAUCAC